CCCCAGCCCCUCCUCCCUCAGACCCAGGACUCCAGGCCCCCAGCCCCUCCUCCCUCAGACCCAGGAUGCCACGCCCUCUCCACCUUUGGGACUCAGACUUCCAGGACUCAGAUAUCUGCUCCCCAACUUCUCUCCUCCACACACAACCACCUCUCUAUUUCCCCAGGAUGUUCUUUCGAUGGUACUUCAGUGGCAACUAACAAAGGUAUCUUUCUGUUCCCUAUCCUGUUUCCAUCCCUAAAAUAAAGAAUAUAUUUGAACGCUA